ensembl:antisense Atcayos ataxia, cerebellar, Cayman type, opposite strand
CCCCAAGCGGCUCCUUCAACCCCUGAGAUCUUAAACAAAAUCUCUGGCUUUUCUUCUGACCUGGGAAGGAGGAACUCCGGCUGCGGUGGCCGUGUGCUGUGAACAGAAAGAACCCGUGCUGGUACACCAGGCAUGUGCUGCCACCCAGCGAGGCCAGCAGUCUACCAACUGAGCUAACUGCCAGCUGCCGCCCUUCCAAGCCCAAGCCCGGAAGAUGUGAGUAGCUCGGGGUGAGAUUUCUGACCCACAACACCUCCCAUCCCAGCACUGGAGACUGAAGCAUGGAUUCUGAGGCCAGCCUGGGCUACCAAAGAAGACUGUGUUUUAAAAAGAAAAAGAAAAAAAGAAAAUUAAAAUGGACGAACCCUCAAGUGCUUAGAGAGUGGCAGGGGGCCUACUGGGCUCUGCCCACUGCUACAAUGCUUCCUCUUUGAGGUCACUAGGCUACUACCCAGUCGUUGAAGAGGAGUAUAGCUCUGACACCAUGCCAGCGGUUUAAACUGGAUACAGGAGAACUCGCAUGUAAGAUCCACUUCCAGAAGGUCCCAAGAGCACAGAGAUGGGGUGGGAAGUGAAUGGGGACCUCGAACCCUUGUCCCCAUCCAGGGGUGGGAGGGGAUUAGUGUAGGACGGGAGCAGGGCAUCUUAGUGCAUUAUGGAAAGCUCUGAAGUGGGGGAGUCCAGUGACUGCUCUGCUGUCCACAGCCAUGGGCUAGGACAGAUAAGGUGGGGACAGGCCAGUGAGAGAAACAAGGGAGACCAGCACACAAGGGCCUCAUACCUGGUUCCUCCAGGCCUGGCAGUCCUGUGGUUGUAUCUGUGUGUGGCCAAGCCAGUGAGACUUAGGGAUAACCUGAGACCCUGGGCAUGGCUGGCAUUGUUUACAUGAAUGUGAAUUCUGGGGGUCGCCCUGUUUGUGCUCUGAGCUGAGUAAGGCUCUCAAUAUAAACGAGGGAGAGAGGGCCCAGCAAGAUGGCUCAGCAGGUAAAGGUGCUUGCAGCCAGGUCUUGAUGACCCAAGUUCAAUUCCCAUUUGAUGGAAAGAGAACUGACUCCACUCAAGUGAUCUCCACAUGUGUAUGGAUGCAUUCACAACAGAUAAAUAAUAGCUAAUAAUA